GUCUGUGGCCACACCUCCCUGAAUGCAUCUGAUCUCAGAAGCUAAGCAGGUCUGGUUAGUACUGGGAUGGGGGAACGGAAAAGGAGCAGUUGGUC
rnacentral:rRNA from 1 species